rnacentral:rRNA from 1 species
UACGUAGGGCGCAAGCGUUGUCCGGAAUUAUUGGGCGUAAAGAGCUCGUAGGCGGUCUGUCGCGUCGGAUGUGAAAGCCCGGGGCUUAACCCCGGGUCUGCAUUCGAUACGGGCAGACUAGAGUGUGGUAGGGGAGAUCGGAAUUCCUGGUGUAGCGGUGAAAUGCGCAGAUAUCAGGAGGAACACCGGUGGCGAAGGCGGGUCUCUGGGCAACAACUGACGCUGAGGAGCGAAAGCGUGGGGAGCGAACAGG